CCCUUAGAUGUCCUGGGCCGCACGCGCGCUACACUGACAUGUUCAACAAGCCUCCUAGUUCGACAGGAUUUGGGAAAUCUUUGAACGCAUGUCGUGAUAGGGAUAGAUCAUUGCAAUUAUUGAUCUUGAACGAGGAAUUCCUAGUAAACGCGAGUCAUCAGCUCGCAUUGAUUACGUCCCUGCCCUUUGUACACACCGCCCGUCGCUCCUACCGAUUGAGCGAUCCGGUGAAUGUUUUGGACUGGCGUCAGAAGCGGUUCGCUCCUGACACUACGAAAUUUUGUAAACCUUAUCGCUUAGAGGAAGGAAAAGUCGUAACA
rnacentral:rRNA from 1 species